rnacentral:rRNA from 1 species
CCUACGGGAGGCAGCAGUGGGGAAUAUUGCGCAAUGGGGGAAACCCUGACGCAGCAACGCCGCGUGAGUGAAGAAGGCCUUAGGGUUGUAAAGCUCUGUCAUAUGGGAAGAUAAUGACGGUACCAUAAGAGGAAGCCACGGCUAACUACGUGCCAGCAGCCGCGGUAAUAAUCUCUAGAGG